AGCUCUUGACAUCUGGAUGACGAAUCCGUAACGGGAUUUUCUCUUCGGACCAUCCAAAACAGGUGGUGCAUGGUUGUCGUCAGCUCGUGUCGUGAGAUGUUGGGUUAAGUCCCGCAACGAGCGCAACCCUUAUCUUUAGUAGCCAGCAAGUAAAGUUGGGCACUCUAGAGAGACUGCCGGGGAUAACCCGGAGGAAGGUGGGGAUGACGUCAAAUCAUCAUGCCCCUUAUGAUUUGGGCUACACACGUGCUACAAUGGCGUAAACAGAGGGAAGCGAGCCUGCGAGGGGGAGCGAAUCCCAAAAAUAACGUCCCAGUUCGGAUUGUAGUCUGCAACCCGACUACAUGAAGCUGGAAUCGCUAGUAAUCGCGGAUCAAAAUGCCGCGGUGAAUACGUUCCCGGGUCUGUAACACCCCCGAA
rnacentral:rRNA from 1 species